rnacentral:rRNA from 2 species
UGAGGAAUAUUGCACAAUGGGCGGAAGCCUGAUGCAGCAACGCCGCGUGAGGGAGGAAGGCCUUCGGGUCGUAAACCUCUUUUCUGGGGGACGAGCAAGGACGGUACCCCAGGAAUAAGUCUCGGCUAACUACGUGCCAGCAGCCGCGGUAAAACGUAGGAGGCGAGCGUUAUCCGGAUUUACUGGGCGUAAAGCGCACGCAGGCGGCGGCAGUCGUCGGACGUGAAAGCUCCCGGCUUAACUGGGAGAGGUCGUUCGAGACGCUGUGGCUUGAGGUUGGGAGAGGGGUGUGGAAUUCCCGGUGUAGUGGUGGAAUGCGUAGAGAUCGGGAGGAACACCUGUGGCGCAAGCGGCACCCUGGCCCACACCUGACGCUGAGGUGCGAAAGCGUGGGGAGCAAACAGG